AGUGAACGCUGGCGGUAGGCCUAACACAUGCAAGUCGAACGGCAGCACAGUAAGAGCUUGCUCUUACGGGUGGCGAGUGGCGGACGGGUGAGGAAUACAUCGGAAUCUACUUUUUCGUGGGGGAUAACGUAGGGAAACUUACGCUACUACCGCAUACGACCUACGGGUGAAAGCAGGGGAUCUUCGGACCUUGCGCGAUUGAAUGAGCCGAUGUCGGAUUAGCUAGUUGGCGGGGUAAAGGCCCACCAAGGCGACGAUCCGUAGCUGGUCUGAGAGGAUGAUCAGCCACACUGGAACUGAGACACGGUCCAGACUCCUACGGGAGGCAGCAGUGGGGAAUAUUGGACAAUGGGCGCAAGCCUGAUCCAGCCAUACCGCGUGGGUGAAGAAGGCCUUCGGGUUGUAAAGCCCUUUUGUUGGGAAAGAAAAGCAGCAGGUUAAUACCCCGCUGUUCUGACGGUACCCAAAGAAUAAGCACCGGCUAACUUCGUG
rnacentral:rRNA from 1 species